rnacentral:rRNA from 1 species
UACGAAGGGGGCAAGCGUUGUUCGGAAUUACUGGGCGUAAAGGGUGCGUAGGCGGCCUUGCAAGUCAGAUGUGAAGGCCCUGGGCUUAACCCGGGAACUGCAUUUGAAACUGCAAGGCUAGAGUAUAGGAGAGGUAAGCGGAAUUCCGAGUGUAGAGGUGAAAUUCGUAGAUAUUCGGAAGAACAUCAAUGGCGAAGGCAGCUUACUGGACUAUUACUGACGCUGAGGCACGAAAGCGUGGGGAGCAAACAGG